GGUGAACGCUGGCGGCGUGCCUAAUACAUGCAAGUCGAGCGAAUGGAUUAAGAGCUUGCUCUUAUGAAGUUAGCGGCGGACGGGUGAGUAACACGUGGGUAACCUGCCCAUAAGACUGGGAUAACUCCGGGAAACCGGGGCUAAUACCGGAUAACAUUUUGAACCGCAUGGUUCGAAAUUGAAAGGCGGCUUCGGCGGUCACUUAUGGAUGGACCCGCGUCGCAUUAGCUAGUUGGUGAGGUAACGGCUCACCAAGGCAACGAUGCGUAGCCGACCUGAGAGGGUGAUCGGCCACACUGGGACUGAGACACGGCCCAGACUCCUACGGGAGGCAGCAGUAGGGAAUCUUCCGCAAUGGACGAAAGUCUGACGGAGCAACGCCGCGUGAGUGAUGAAGGCUUUCGGGUCGUAAAACUCUGUUGUUAGGGAAGAACAAGUGCUAGUUGAAUAAGCUGGCACCUUGACGGUACCUAACCAGAAAGCCACGGCUAACUACGUGCCAGCCGCCGCCGUAA
rnacentral:rRNA from 1 species